rfam:Gaeumannomyces graminis var. tritici R3-111a-1 unplaced genomic scaffold supercont2.2, whole genome shotgun sequence.
GCCCGCUUGGCUUAGUGGUAAAGCGUAUCACUAGUAAUUGCUAGUGUAUGAUAAGAUCGUCAGUUCGAUUCUGACAGUGGGCA